rnacentral:rRNA from 1 species
UACGUAGGGUGCGAGCGUUGUCCGGAAUUAUUGGGCGUAAAGAGCUUGUAGGCGGUUUGUCGCGUCUGCUGUGAAAUUUCGGGGGCUCAACCCCCGAACUUGCAGUGGGUACGGGGCAGACUAGAGUGUGGUAGGGGGAGACUGGAAUUCCUGGUGUAGCGGUGAAAUGCGCAGAUAUCAGGAGGAACACCGAUGGCGAAGGCAGGUCUCUGGGCCACUACUGACGCUGAGAAGCGAAAGCAUGGGGAGCGAACAGG